UUAGAGAUCCUCUGAUGUUAAGCUAGUAAUAAAGCAGGAUAGCAAUUGGUUUCACAAUCUCUUAUGCUUGCCCGCACAUGGCUUGUCUUAGUGAGAUCACAUCUAGUUAUAUCCUGGGCAGGUACAGGUACCCACUUACCUCUACAAGGUGAAAGAAGCAACAGGAAUUUAGAGGUAGAGUACAAACAUAGGCCCUUGAACCUACAGUGAACACUGUGUAGGUGGAUGGAACCCUGUAGCUGCAAGGAGCUCGGCAGAGAAUUGUGCCUUUGGCUGCAUCACACCAUAUGAAGAUGUGAAGAGUCAUACAAACAGCCGUCUUAGAAAAGGGUCAGCCAUUUAAGGUCUUCUUAGAUCCUUCUUUUGAGGAUCUGGUGUAUCGAUCAAAAUUAUCAAAAACUAUCACUGAAAUCCAUACACAUCAGGUAUUCUUGUAGGCCCAGAGAGCGGUACGUGGCUUGAAGCACCACGACAUCCCUUUGGACUUGAGACCUGGAGCCGCCCUGGAUGAGCCAGUCAUUGAGGUAUGGGUAAAUCUGGAUACCCCAGGGCAUGAUGUAAGCCGCUACCACUGACAAA